rnacentral:rRNA from 1 species
GUAAUAGCUCACUGGUCGAGUCGGCCUGCGCGGAAGAUGUAACGGGGCUAAACCAUGCACCGAAGCUGCGGCAGCGAACGUAUCACUUAAAGCGAUUCAGCGGGUUACGAUUGACGGAGCGAAGCGACGUCAAAGCGUAUACAAAGUCGAGUCGGUUUAAGGAUACGUUCGUUGGGUAGGGGAGCGUUCUGUAAGCCCGUGAAGGUGGCCUGUGAGGGUUGCUGGAGGUAUCAGAAGUGCGAAUGCUGACAUAAGUAACGAUAAAGCGGGUGAAAAGCCCGCUCGCCGGAAGACCA